GAUCCCAGAGGCAGGGACUGUGCCUGCUUAAUUAAUUUAAUUCUGUUCCUCCCACUGGACUCAGCUUUGUGCUUUGUACCUAGAAGUAGUCAGUGUGAAACCGAAAUGAAUUAGGUCAGAGGGAUGUAAUGGUGGGGGAUAGAGAAAAAGUUUGACCCAUCUCAACCUUGAGGCUGUGGUCUGUGGGUUUGUAAGGCUUCAGGUGAGCAGGAUGCUCGGGUGAGUGGGGGGAAAGGAGGGGGGAGAAGGGAGAGGGAGAAAGGCUCUGGAACCUGGUCAUCGCAGGAAACCAGCAGCCACUGAGCUAUCCUCAACAACUAGAGAAGAGCCUGCAGCUUCCAACUGUUUACCUCCUGGGUACCAUGGAGACUGCUGACUGGUUGCCAUAGCAACCCUGGGCUUAGCCAGAAGCAGCGACCAACCGCUCACAGAUAGUGAAUGAGGAUAGAAAAGACAUAAAAACAGGCGCAUCAAAGGCAAGGGCACACGCAGUCCUGGCUGAAGUCCAAGGGAGCGUGAUUGAGAUCCUGCAUCGACUAGUCUGCCACCAGAGAGCCGCUCUUCACUAGCUCCUGACAAUUCUGCGCAGUCGAGGACCCUCUCUGAGGUUGAAUAGAGGCUGAAGAGGCCACACUGUGUUUAGCUGGAGACAACUAUCUUAGAGUGAGGAAUCCUAAAGUCCCAACAACAGAAUAAAUUCACCUGUUUGGAUCCCCAGCCUGAGUAGGGUCCGGUAGAGGCAGCCCCGCAUCCCCCACCCUCUGCUUCACAGGGGUCCCCUUCAAAUCGCUGACACAACUGCCCCAGUGCAGAACGGGCCCAGGGACACCGGGCAGGACCCCUGCCUGGAGCAAGGGGAUCCAAGCAGCAGUGGAGACCCUUCCCCACUAGCCGGAGUGGAGGCUCCGCAUCUGGGUGCAGUGUCGUGGGAGAGGGUGUCACCGAGUGGGAGGACUCCUUCCUGACCCCAUCAGAGCCAGCCCUGUUCCUUCUGCCUCCUUCCCCGACGGCUCCGCGGGCUCAGCCCAGCGCGGCUACCGGACGGAAAGGGGGCGAGCCAGAAGCAAGAAAGCAACAAAAUCCGUCUGUCAACUUUGGAGUCUCUCCGGGCUGCGCACGGCCACCUUCGACUCCUUCCUCGGAUUUUUACCAGUACAGUAAUCCACACGGGGUGAGGACACGGCCGAUACCCGCGAGUCUGAAGUUUAAAGGUGGAGAUGCGUAUAAUGUUUAUAUAUAAACACUAAUUGUAGGGAGGAUUUGAAAAACUAGUCUUCCUUGGGGAUCAAGUGUAUUUCUCCUUUCAGAGUUUUUAUUUUCUUCGAUCACACCAGACAACCUUGACUCCCUGAACUGAAAGUCAAAACUCACCAGUCCAGCAAAUAUUUCAUCAUCUUCUACCCCAGUCAAAGGAAUUUGAGUUCUUUUUGGAGAAAAUAACUUUAUUCAAUAAAGCCUCCACUUUCCCCCCAAAUCACUUUCCCACGGAAGGGGCAUGUCUAAGGACACCAUCAAGAAUGAAGACCUGGGCUGGGGUUGUGGCUCAGAGGUGGAGUGCUCACCUGGCAUGGGCAAGGCCCUAGAUUCAAUCCUCAGUACCAUAAAUAAAUAAAUAAAUAAAUAAAUAAAAUAAAGGUACCGUGUUCAACUACAAGUAAAAAAAAAUAUAUUAAAAAAAGUAUGAAGACCUAAUUCCUACUGCCCCCCCCAAGCAGAUCCCACAGCAGUCACCACCAUAGAACUUCCCUAGGACCUGUAGCCCAUAGCAUUUCCUGAAAACACCCAUUAAAUUGCUUAUUCAUGGAGCAGCUUAUCUAGAAAACUCUUAAGACUUCAAGUUCAUGCACACUUGAAAGGAAAGAUGAAGUACUAGUUUUCACUGAAGCAAUAAUUAGAGUGACAGGUAAGACUGUGUGCGCGCGCGCGCACACACACACACACACACACACACACUCAGGAAGCAAAAUCUAGAAAAAGAAUUUCCCUAAAGAAAUGGCAGGCUUAUUCAGAUGCAAAGAUUUCUGGUAGUGGGAGAAUAAAUCAAUGGUAGUGGUUAAUCAAUAAAACAAAGUUGAAGCCACAGAAGUUGGAGGAGUGGUGGAUUCUUGUUUUAUCAUUUGGGCUUCUGGAAAGAACUUGAAAUUACUUCAAGAUGAGAAAACAAAAUUUAUAGGAUUCCAUUUUAUCAGGACCUUUAGUGUGCUUAUUCCAAAGACUCUCA
ensembl:lincRNA